GAUGAAGAACGUAGCGAAAUGCGAUACGUAAUGUGAAUUGCAAAUUCAGUGAAUCAUCGAGUCUUUGAACGCACAUUGCGCCCCCUGGUAUUCCGGGGGGCAUGCCUGUCCGAGCGUCAUUGCUGCCCUCAAGCACGGCUUGUGUGUUGGGCCCCGUCCUCCGAUCCCGGGGGACGGGCCCGAAAGGCAGCGGCGGCACCGCGUCCGGUCCUCGAGCGUAUGGGGCUUUGUCACCCGCUCUGUAGGCCCGGCCGGAGCUUGCCGAUCAACCCAAAUUUUUUAUCCAGGUUGACCUCGGAUCAGGUAGGGAUACCCGCUGAACUUAAGCAUAUCAAUAAGCGGAGGA
rnacentral:misc_RNA from 1 species